UGGUGUAUGACAUUCGGCAUUGCCUGUC
rnacentral:sRNA from 1 species